AGUCGAGCGCACCUUCGGGUGAGCGGCGGACGGGUUAGUAACGCGUGGGAACAUACCCUUUGGUACGGAAUAGCCUCUGGAAACGGAGAGUAAUACCGUAUGAGCCCUUCGGGGGAAAGAUUUAUCGCCAAAGGAUUGGCCCGCGUUAGAUUAGGUAGUUGGUGGGGUAAUGGCCUACCAAGCCUACGAUCUAUAGCUGGUUUUAGAGGAUGAUCAGCAACACUGGGACUGAGACACGGCCCAGACUCCUACGGGAGGCAGCAGUGGGGAAUCUUGGACAAUGGGGGCAACCCUGAUCCAGCCAUGCCGCGUGAGUGAUGAAGGCCUUAGGGUCGUAAAGCUCUUUCGCCUGUGAAGAUAAUGACGGUAGCAGGUAAAGAAACCCCGGCUAACUCCGUGCCAGCAGCCGCGGUAAUACGGAGGGGGUUAGCGUUGUUCGGAAUUACUGGGCGUAAAGCGCACGUAGGCGGACUGGAAAGUUGGGGGUGAAAUCCCAGGGCUCAACCCUGGAACUGCCUCCAAAACUAUCAGUCUAGAGUUCGAGAGAGGUGAGUGGAAUUCCGAGUGUAGAGGUGAAAUUCGUAGAUAUUCGGAGGAACACCAGUGGCGAAGGCGGCUCACUGGCUCGAUACUGACGCUGAGGUGCGAAAGUGUGGGGAGCAAACAGGAUUAGAUACCCUGGUAGUCCACACCGUAAACGAUGAAUGCCAGUCGUCGGGUAGCAUGCUAUUCGGUGACACACCUAACGGAUUAAGCAUUCCGCCUGGGGAGUACGGUCGCAAGAUUAAAACU
rnacentral:rRNA from 1 species